GUUGUUUGGGAGUGUUCUAGUGUAUUCCAGUUCUAGUUCUAGCACAGUCACUCAGAAUUCCUUCCCAUAAUUCUCUUAUUUUAAUUUAAUCCAGUUUCUAAUUUGACUCUUCAAUGAGUGGAGAACUGAGCAGAUACCUCCUCAUCAAAUCUUUCAGAGGCUAAAGAUGGAACUUAUACCCCCUGGCCUUCACCUCCUCUGCACCUGUUGUCUGUACCUCCUCUGAAGAGAGUUUUGGAAACUUUUACUGGGAGGGGUGGGUAUUCUUUGCUCUGGAUCCUGGUGUUUCUGUCAUCCUCUCGGGCAGAGUGACCUAUACAAAGCUAGGGUUUGAGUGAGUACUUAAGUAAUCAAUGUGCACUCAGGAGGGCCUGUGAUUACAUCAUUUCUCUGCGUGUCAUACACACCAUUAAUGAGUCUCACUGUGGGCAGCACCUAGCAGAAGCACCACCACUGAUACGCAGAGAGAAUGUCAUCAUGUGAACACGAGGAAGAGGUGACAAGUAUAUAAGCUAGUGUGUCAUCAAAGCACCAGUAUCUGGAAGAGAGGCCUGCUGCAGAUCUUCCCUCAUAGCCCUCCCAGGAACCUGGACUGAUCCACACCUUGAUUUUGGACUUGUAGCUUCCAGACACCUGAGAAAAAUAUAUUUGUUAUGUGCA